GUGCCAGCAGCCGCGGCGGUAAUACAUAGGGGGCAAGCGUUAUCCGGAAUUAUUGGGCGUAAAGCGUGCGCAGGCGGAUUGUUAAGCAAGAUGUGAAAUCCCCGGGCUUAACCUGGGAAUGGCAUUUUGAACUGGCAGUCUAGAGUGUGUCAGAGGGGGGUGGGAUUCCACGUGUAGCAGUGAAAUGCGUAGAUAUGUGGAGGAACACCAAUGGCGAAGGCAGCCCCCUGGGAUAACACUGACGCUCAUGUACGAAAGCGUGGGUAGCAAACAGGAUUAGAUACCCUGGUAGUCCACGCCC
rnacentral:rRNA from 1 species